UUGGCCUCCCAAAGUGCUGGGAUUACAGGUGUGAGCCACGGUUCUCGGCCGUUUAACAUUCUUUUAAACGGCUCCCCCACUUCCAAUCUUAGUUUCCGUCCCAAUUUGGGAAUUGUUCCUGCCUGGAGGUGAGGGAACCAUCAAUGGCCUUGUCUGAGAUGCACGCCUUGGUGCACAACAAACUCCUCUGCCAUCGCUUAGUCCUUCAAAGCUGACAGUGCUUUUAGAGGAAUGAAUACUUUUGGACUGGAAAGUAGACCUGGAAAAAUGGCCGUUAGGUUUUCUGUUAACUUCAAACUCAUCGGGGAAAGUAGAUAUAACAAAUG